rnacentral:lncRNA from 1 species
GAUGAAUCAAGUGAAGAAAUCAUUGAAGGAGACUCUACUGGGAAAACCAGUAGGGAAAACAUAGGAAAACCAGCCCCAAAACUAGAUGGAGAGCUACAAUGGAAAUCCAGAGAGGAUGCAAUCUGGGAGCACAGAAUUGAUUACAACUGGGAAUAUAAUGAAGAUUUUACCUGGGAAUCCAGUGGACAGUCAAAUGAAGAAUAUAAUAAGGAGGUGAUUGAUGAUGCCAGCCCUGGGAUGACAGUGGUCAACACAACAGUGACACCUAGCACGAAGGUGAUAUCAGUUGUAACAAAGGAGCCAAC